ensembl:lncRNA
CGAAGCUUCCGGUAUCAGAGGACCAUCACUAUCUGGUAGCGUCUCUGGCUGCUGUUGACCUUGUUUUUGGUGUAAAACACGGUGGAAGCUGAAUUAGUGAGGAUGACUCCUGCUCCUGUCAUCUCUAAGCUCCUCACACAUCUUUACCUGCACAUGAGGAAAAUCACUCCUGUAGAAUGCAGAUGUUCAGAGGGAGAUGAUGCCACAUCUGGUCCAGCUGAUGGAAGGUCUUGAAGUUCUCUGACUGGCCUCGACUGAAGAUAGUCGUCUCACUGGAUUUAAGAUGCACAAUGAGGGACGUCUGCAGAGACUGAGAAAGAGUCUCACCACAUCCUGACAUGAGGAAAAAGACUUUAUUGAAGACUACAAUGAGAAAAACUAUCAGACAGCAGACAGCUGCAUUCAAGUCUGUAGCUGCUGAAUUCAUGGAUGAAUCAUCUGGCACUAGAGAAGAAGACCAUCAAACAUCCAUGUCAGCUGAUGGAGGUCCAAGAGUCUCACCAAACAAACAACCUACAGAGUGAAGACCUCAAAUCUGAUUGGACGGCCUCCUAUUCAGCCACGUGUGAACAAAUGCCUCUAAGCUGAUUUGUUUUCUAAAAUAAAUCUAGUUUGAGUCCUAAUCUAUGCCUGUGUGUUUGCUUCUUUACAUCGCUGUUAACAGUUUAGGCUAUUAGAUUGUUCCAGAUAAGACAAGUACAAGAUUCUUCAGAGCCGUUCUACUACGAGCCUGACAGGAAGAACUCCAACAGCUACUGAAUGUUCCUGUGGUUCCCUCAAGGCUACAGGAGGAGCCCUACGAGUACGAGCCGGUCCACCUGAUGGCGGCCAGUCGCUGUGGUUCAAAGCCAACACCGACUACGUGGACUUCUACUGGACCACACGGAGGCCUUCAAACCGGACCAACAAGUUCACCGACUCCCCGACUCGUGGGUCUGAGGACGCCGCCGAGCCUCGGUCCAGCCGGCCUCCUGUCUGUGGGUGUUUGAGUGCUGAGAGGUUUGUGGAUGCAUGUGAACGUGUCUGUGUUGAAACAGCAGCUUUUGACUCAGUAACGCUGGGAAAAACCAAGAGCUCCUUUAUUUGUGACUUCCACUAAAAAACUGAUGAAAAUAAGUUUGCCAGGGUUCUGACUGAUAACAGAUUAUUAAAUAAUGAAAAUAACUGUUUAAAUAUUCCUUUAAACAAUCCUUUUAGGUCUACAUUUCCUUUACACUGACUUCUUGGUAUUUUGGGUGGAAUAUAUCAUCAGACUAACCUCCAAGGUCUACAGUCGUGAAUUUUAUGUCGAAUGUACCAUUAAACUCACCUUUUAGGUCUACAUUGGAGGAUUUUAGGUGGAAUUCUCUUCCAAACUGUCUUUUAGUCUACAUUUAAGGAUGUUUAGGAUGGUAUAUUCUUCCGAACCAACUUCUCAGGUCUACAUUUCAGGUGGAAUAUUCCUCCAUACUAACUUUUUUGGUCUACACUGAAGGAUUUUUUCUAAACAACCCUUUCGGGUCUAUAUUUGAGGUUUUAGGUGGAAUAUUCCUUUUAACCAGCCCCUCAGGUCUCUUUGAGGAUUUUGGAUGGAAUACUCGGUUAAAGCAACAUUUUAGGUGCAUGUCCAAGGGUUUUUGGUAGAAUGUUCCUUUAAGGUGGAUGUUUGAGGACCUUGUAGGUGGAAUACUUCCUGAAACCAACCUUUUAGGUCAACAUUCAAAGAUUUAAGGUGGAAUAUUCCUUUAAACCAACCUAAAUUUCAUGUUUUGAUCGUUAUCAAGUGAGAAACCUCAAUCCAGACUCCUCAUAAUGACAUUUGAGAUUUAUGCUGCUGUUAUUUGUUUAGUCCAGACUAAAUGACAGAAAUCCACAACUGUAAUUUUAUUUCAGGACUCAGUUAUUAAAUUCAAUUCAAUUCAAUUUUAUUUAUAUAGCGCCAAUUACAGUCAAAUUGUCUCGAGACGCUUUACAGAACCAAUAUGCCUGACCUCCAGAGCAAGCCAAAAGGUGACAGUGGCAAGGAAAACACCCUUUUAACAGGGAAAAAAACCUCGAGCAGAACCCGGCUCUAAUGUGGGGGGACCCAUCUGCCUGCUGACCGGGCGGGUUGAGAGGGACAGAAGAGGUAGAGGGGAAGACAAAACAAUCCAUGUGACUCUAAAAACUAAACAGCUGUACAAACUCUAAGAUUAAACUCUCCACAAGGAGCCAAAAUAAGUUGGACUUCUACAUGAGAGCUUUAAUUAUUCUUCAUCUACUUCCUGAAAAAUUUGGUCAAUAAAAAAGGCAAAAACUAAUAUUUUCAGCUGAACGAAAGACAGACUGUGAUUUUUCUGCUCACAUGUGUUGUUGUAAACUUGCUCUUUCAAAUAAAUAGCCGCCUAACCCCCUGGAAACCAGCGUUUGUCCUGUUUUUGUGUUGCUCCUCAGUGACCCUAGACAGCCGGGUCGUAAUGUUUUUUGAGCAACACACCAUACUAUGACGUUUUUACAAUGAUGGUUCUACUAUGAAACCAGUUUGACAUGUUCAGGUGUUCUUUGUGUGAAAACUCAG